GCUAGGAUGAACGCUGGCGGCGUGCUUAACACAUGCAAGUCGAACGGAGUUUUUAAACGGAAGUUUUCGGAUGGAAGUUUAGAAACUUAGUGGCGGACGGGUGAGUAACGCGUGGGUAACCUGCCUCAUACAGGGGGAUAACAGUUAGAAAUGACUGCUAACACCGCAUAAUAUAGCGAAACCGCAUGAUUUUUGCUAUCAAAUAUUUAUAGGUAUGAGAUGGGCCCGCGUCUGAUUAGCUAGUUGGUGGGGUAAAAGCCUACCAAGGCGACGAUCAGUAGCCGGCUUGAGAGAGUGACCGGCCACAUUGGGACUGAGACACGGCCCAAACUCCUACGGGAGGCAGCAGUGGGGAAUAUUGGACAAUGGGGGAAACCCUGAUCCAGCCGACGCCGCGUGAGUGAAGAAGUAUUUCGGUAUGUAAAGCUCUGUCAGCAGGGAAGAUAAUGACAGUACCUGACUAAGAAGCCCCGGCUAACUACGUGCCAGCCGCCGC
rnacentral:rRNA from 1 species